rnacentral:rRNA from 1 species
GAUGAACGCUAGCGGCAGGCCUAACACAUGCAAGUCGAGGGGUAUCCCGCUUUCGGGCGGGAGAGACCGGCGCACGGGUGCGUAACGCGUAUGCAACCUACCCUGUACUGGGGGAUAGCCCGGAGAAAUUCGGAUUAACACCCCAUAGUACUAAUGAAUGGCAUCAUUUAUUAGUUAAAGGUUACGGUACAGGAUGGGCAUGCGUCCAAUUAGCUAGAUGGUAAGGUAACGGCUUACCAUGGCUACGAUAGGUAGGGGGCCUGAGAGGGUGGUCCCCCACACUGGUACUGGGACACGGACCAGACUCCUACGGGAGGCAGCAGUGAGGAAUAUUGGUCAAUGGGCGCAAGCCUGAACCAGCCAUGCGCGUGCAGGAAGACGGUCCUAUGGAUUGUAAACUGCUUUUAUUUGGGAAUAAACCUCUUUACGUGUAGAGAGCUGAAGGUACCAAAUGAAUAAGCACCGGCUAACUCCGUGCCAGCCGCCGCCGUAA